rnacentral:rRNA from 1 species
GGGUAUUGGCCUACCGUGGCAAUGACGGGUAACGGGGAAUUAGGGUUCGAUUCCGGAGAGGGAGCCUGAGAAACGGCUACCACAUCUAAGGAAGGCAGCAGGCGCGCAAAUUACCCAAUCCUAAUACAGGGAGGUAGUGACAAGAAAUAACAAUACAGGACUUUAAAUAGUUUUGUAAUUGGAAUGAGUUGAGUAUAAACCCCUUUACAAGUAUCAAUUGGAGGGCAAGUCUGGUGCCAGCAGCCGCGGUAAUUCCAGCUCCAAUAGCGUAUAUUAAAGUUGUUGCAGUUAAAAAGCUCGUAGUUGGAUUUCUGUUAAUAAUUUAUAUAUAAUGUUUUAUUAAUAUUUAUAUAGUAUUAACAUAAUUCAUAUUACUAUUUUAUAGUAUAUGAAAUUUUACUUUGAGAAAAUUAGAGUGCUUAAAGCAGGCAUUAGCCUUGAAUACUCCAGCAUGGAAUAAUAUAAAAGAUUUUUAUCUUUUUUAUUGGUUCUAAGAUAAAAAUAAUGAUUAAUAGGGACAGUUGGGGGCAUUUGUAUUUAACAGUCAGAGGUGAAAUUCUUAGAUUUGUUAAAGACAAACUAGUGCGAAAGCAUUUGCCAAGGAUGUUUUCAUUAAUCAAGAACGAAAGUUAGGGGAUCGAAGACGAUCAGAUACCG